rfam:Chaetura pelagica isolate M959 contig7826, whole genome shotgun sequence.
CUCCACAGCUACUGGUCUGGAACUGUUGAUGAUUAUAGCAGUUGCAGGAUUCCCUCUGUGGAAAAUAAACUGUUACACAGCGUUAAGAUCCUUCUCAGAUCCUCUGAAAAGGACUCUAUGUAACAAACAAUG